UUGGAGGGCAAGUCUGGUGCCAGCAGCCGCGGUAAUUCCAGCUCCAAUAGCGUAUAUUAAAGUUGUUGCAGUUAAAAAGCUCGUAGUUGAAUUUCGGGGUUCUACCGUUGGUCGGGCUUUGUCUGUACUGGUGUGUAGAAUUUCUACCUUCUGGGGAACCAUCAUGCUAUUAAUUUAGCGUGGUGGGAAACCAGGACCUUUACCUUGAAAAAAUUAGUGUGUUCAAAGCAGGCUUAUGUCUGAAUACAUUAGCGUGGAAUAAUAGAAUAGGACGGUGGUCCUGUUUUGUUGGUUUCUGAAUCACCGUAAUGAUUAAUAGGGAUAGUUGGGGGCAUUAGUAUUCAAUUGUCAGAGGUGAAAUUCUUGGAUUUAUUGAAGACUAACUUCUGCGAAAGCAUUUGCCAAGGAUGUUUUCAUUAAUCAAGAACGAAAGUUAGGGGAUCGAAGACGAUCGGAUACCGUCGUAGUCUUAACCAUAAACUAUGCCGACUAGGGAUCGGACGAUGUUAAUUUUUUAAUGACUCAUUCGGCGCCUUACGGGAAAC
rnacentral:rRNA from 1 species